rnacentral:rRNA from 1 species
CAUGCACGUACCGUUAUGGAUACUGUAAUAACUCUAGAGCUAAUACAUGCCUCGAUGCCCUGACCCUGCCUGCUUGCCUGCCUUCUGUGCUUGUGGGUAGGGGAUGGGUGCACUUAUUAGAUCAGAAGCCAACCAACUGUGCGCUUGCGGCUGAAAGGCUGCAGCGUGCGUUGAAGCACUUCUGGUGACUCUGGAUAAUUGUUACAGAUCGCAGUCGGCCUUGAGUCGGCGACGGGUCCUUCAAAUGUCUGCCCUAUCAACUUUCGAUGGUAGGUGACCUGCCUACCAUGGUGAUAACGGGUAACGGGGAAUCAGGGUUCGAUUCCGGAGAGGGAGCCUGAGAAACGGCUACCACUUCCAAGGGAGGCAGCAGGCGCGCAAAUUACCCACUCCCAGUACGGGGAGGUGGUGACGAUAAAUACCGAUGCGGGACUCCUUAAAGAGGCUCCGUAAUCGGAAUGAGUGGACUCUAAAUCCUUUCACGAGGAUCCAUUGGAGGGCAAGUCUGGUGCCAGCAGCCGCGGUAACUCCAGCUCCAAUAGCGUAUAUUAAAGUUGCUGCAGUUAAAAAGCUCGUAGUUGGAUCUCGGUAGCAUUGUUGCCUGUUGGCAUUUGAGCGGCUGGUGUGUGGCUAGCGGUGUGCUGUCGCGGUGUCUGUCAGUGUGUCGACGGUGCUCGUGUGCGCGAGUAUGAGUGGCAGCGGUGGCGGCGACGGUGGCAGUCGCGGUGGCGGUUGCCUACUACUGCCUGUUCCUGGUAGUGUGUGGCGACUUCUGCUGUGUACGGCCUUGCCUGCUCGCUGUCUAUUCGUCUGCGUGCUUGUUUGCGUGGCUACGUCUGCGCAAGACCGCUCGCGUGUCCGGGUACUUAGGCAUCUGCAACACUGGGGUAGUGUCGUCGUGGCCAUUGAUUAGCACUGUCGUGUCAAACCGGCAAGGCGACGGUGUCACCUUUAAGCCAUGUCUGUGGUGUAAUAGCCGCAGGUGUGGGCGGGUGUCGGGCAGGUCUCUGCACACGCUGCGGAGCUUGUCGGCUCGUCCGCAUGCCUUUGGAUGCCCUUCAAAAGGUGUCUGUAGGCGGAUGGCACGUUUACUUUGAACAAAUUUGAGUGCUCAAAUCAGGCCGAUGUUGCCUGAAAAGUUUUGCAUGGAAUAAUGGAAUAGGGCUUCGGUUCUAUUUCGUUGGUUUUCGGAUCCGAAGUAAUGAUCAAAAGAGACAGGCGGGGACGUUUGUAUGGCUGCGAUAGAGGUGAAAUUCAUGGACCGUAGCCAGACACACUAAAGCGAAAGCAUUCGUCAAGCAUGUUUUCAUUGGCCAUGAGCGAAAGUCAGAGGCUCGAAGACGAUCAGAUACCGUCCUAGUUCUGACCAUAAACGAUGCCAACUGACGAUCCGUGGUGGUAGUGCUGUAGCAACCUUCCCCACGGGCAGUCCCCGGGAAACCUUUAAGUC